GACAGAGGUGCCGAGCGUUAGGCGGAAUCACUGGGCUUAAAGCGUGUGUAGGCGGACUUCUAAGUACCUUGUGAAAUCCCACGGCUCACCCGUGGAACUGCUCGGUAUACUGGUCGUCUUGAGCCUUCUAGGGGCGAGUGGAACAAAUGGUGGAGCGGUGAAAUGCGUAGAUAUCAUUUGGAACGCCAAUGGUGAAAACAACUCGCUGGGGAAGUGCUGACGCUGAGACACGAAAGCCAGGGGAGCGAACGGG
rnacentral:rRNA from 1 species